rnacentral:piRNA from 1 species
UAGAUAGGAUUUAAGGAUGGCUCCCGGGA